UACAGAGGGGGCAAGCGUUAUUCGGAAUUAUUGGGCGUAAAGGGCGCGUAGGCGGCCUGGCAAGUGGAAGGUGAAAUCCCUCGGCUUAACCGAGGAACUGCCCUCCAAACUGCUUGGCUUGAGACCGGGAGAGGUGAGUGGAAUUCCCAGUGUAGCGGUGAAAUGCGUAGAUAUUGGGAGGAACACCGGUGGCGAAGGCGGCAUCCUGGACCGAGAUUGACGCUGAUGCGCGAAAGCCAGGGGAGCAAACGGG
rnacentral:rRNA from 1 species